rnacentral:rRNA from 1 species
AUUGAACGCUGGAGGCAGGCCUAACACAUGCAAGUCGAGCGAGCGGCGGACGGGUGAGUAAUGUAUGGGGAUCUGCCUGAUGGAGGGGGAUAACUACUGGAAACGGUAGCUAAUACCGCAUACCAUCAGAUGACCCCAUAUGGGAGUAGCUUGUAGGUGAGGUAACGGCUCACCUAGGCGACGAUCCCUAGCGGGUCUGAGAGGAUGAUCGGCCACACUGGGACGGAGACACGGCCCAGACUCCUACGGGAGGCAGCAGUGGGGAAUAUUGCACAAUGAGCGCAAGCCUGAUACAGCCAUGGCGCGUGUAUGAAGAAGGCCUUCGGGUUGUAAAGUACUUUCAGUCGGGAGGCGUGACCGACAGAAGAAUCACCAGCUAACUCCGUGCCAGCAGCCGCGGUAAUUC